UCGCUCAUCAUCACUGACACGUCCUUGUUAUCUGGAAAGAGCACGGAAAUGCAGCGGCCUCCUUGAAGAUCCUGAUAAAUGAAGAAAAGACACAGAGAAGGAUGUGACAUGCCUGGGCCAUGGAGCACUCUGAGAUCUCAUCGGGGACACCACUGCCCACACCUCCAUCCCGUCCUGCGCAGGCCGACACUCACUGACGUUGAAGCCUGCCUUCAGUGCCUGGAUGUCUGCGGCCACCCCAGACAUGCGGCAGGAAACUGCAUAUCUUCUGGUUUACAUGAAGAUGGAGUGCUAAUGGAAAUGCCCAAAACCUUCAGAGAUUGACACGCUGUCAUUUUCCAUUUCCGUUCCUGGAUCUACGGAGUCUUCUAAGAGAUUUUGCAAUGAGGAGAAGCACUGUUUUCAAACUAUAUAACUGAGCCUUAUUUAUAAUUAGGGAUAUUAUCAAAAUAUGUAACCAUGAGGCCCCUCAGGUCCUGAUCAGUCAGAAUGGAUGCUUUCACCAGCAGACCCGGCCAUGUGGCUGCUCGGUCCUGGGUGCUCGCUGCUGUGCGAGACAUUAGCCCUUUAGUUAUGAGCCUGUGGGAACUUCAGGGGUUCCCAGUGGGGAGAGCAGUGGCAGUGGGAGGCAUCUGGGGGCCAAAGGUCAGUGGCAGGGGGUAUUUCAGUAUUAUACAACUGCUGUGACCAGACUUGUAUACUGGCUGAAUAUCAGUGCUUUUUGUAAUUUUUCACUUUGAGAACCAACAUUAAUUCCAUAUGAAUCAAGUGUUUUGUAACUGCUAUUCAUUUAUUCAGCAAAUAUUUAUUGAUCAUCUCUUCUCCAUAAGAUAGUGUGAUAAACACAGUCAUGAAUAAAGUUAUUUUCCACAAAAGGACUUUGCAGUUUUAACGGGGGGCAGUAGGGCUUGUGCUAUAGAAAUUCAAAGGCAAGGGAAGUCACUUCUGUUGUGGGGCCCUGGGAGGAGCCUCCAGGCUGGAAAGGC
rnacentral:lncRNA from 1 species